rnacentral:rRNA from 1 species
UUCGGUACAUCGGUGACGAGGUGGUGCAUGGUUGUCGUCAGCUCGUGUCGUGAGAUGUUGGGUUAAGUCCCGCAACGAGCGCAACCCCUAUUGUUAGUUGCCACCAUUCAGUUGGGCACUCUAGCGAGACUGCCGGUAAUAAACCGGAGGAAGGUGGGGAUGACGUCAAUCAUCAUGCCCCUUAUGACCUGGGAUACACACGUGCUACAAUGGUUGGUACAACGAGUUGCGAGUCGGUGACGGCGAGCUAAUCUCUUAAAGCCAAUCUCAGUUCGGAUUGUAGGCUGCAACUCGCCUACAUGAAGUCGGAAUCGCUAGUAAUCGCGGAUCAGCACGCCGCGGUGAAUACGUUCCCGGGCCUU